GCUUGUCUCAAAGAUUAAGCCAUGCAAAUGCCAGUAUAAACACGUUUGUACUGUGAAACUGUGAAUGGCUCAUUAAAUCAGUUAUCGUCUACUUGACAGUACCUUACUACUUGGAUAACCGUGGUAAUUCUAGAGCUAAUACAUGCGAAAAGUCCCGACUCACGGAGGGACGUAUUUAUUAGAUACAAAGCCAACCGGGGCAACCCGUUUGCUGGUGAUUCAUAGUAACUCUGCGAAUCGCACGCUCUUGCAGCGGCGAUGAUUCAUUCGAAUUUCUGCCCUAUCAACUUACGAUGGUAAGGUAGUGGCUUACCAUGGUGACCACGGGUAACGGAGAAUUAGGGUUCGAUUCCGGAGAGGGAGCCUGAGAAAUGGCUACCACUUCCAAGGAAGGCAGCAGG
rnacentral:rRNA from 1 species